CGCCCCCACCCCCCGCGGGGGAGGGCCUUCGAGUGUUUGUCCGUCUCCGCGGUAACUGCGGCCUCAGCGCGGAGCUGCGGUGCCGGAGCGAUGGCCGCGGGCUCGGGGCCCGAGUUUUACAUGAGGUGGAAGCACUGUGAGGUGCAAGGUGAUAGGACUUUAUGCAAUCUAACGAAACUACUGAACAAACUUCAGAAAGAUCACAGAGAUGACAUCUAUCUCUACACCUCUGGGCACUUGAAUUCCAAUAAGCUCUACAGGCCACCUGAGACAAUCCUAUAUCACUGGCCCAAUGCCAAUAGACCAAAAGGGGAAAAAAUCUUCAAAAUAGAAAAGCCAUCUGAUAAGAAGAUUGCAAAGAUGAAAGAUGCUUUGGCUUAUUUUGCCAUCAAUACAGCUCUGAGUCCAAAAGAUGCCCAGACCACACCACUAUUCAGGUAUUUGAACCCUCUGGAGCAUAUUUCCCACACUUCAGAAGAGGACUUCUUUCCAAGGAAGGCUCUAGGAAGAGAGGCUUCUCCAGAACUGCGGAGGAGAGAAGAGCUGAGACUGCCAGAGAUGAAGGUUCUCAAGUACAGAACAGUGGAGUCCAGCCGUCAGUGUGUGAUGUCUCCCCGACCCAAGGAUGAGUACCGGUACAUCAGCUCCUACUUAGCUGGCAUAACAAAGGCAGACAAGUAUAAGAAGUUCCUGUGUUUCCAAAAAGAAGUUCUUGCAAAGCAAGAUCUCACGAAGCACGAUUUCACUGGGAUCAAGGCAGCAAUAUGCCAUGAAAAGAAGUUGGAACAGGAGCUCCAGAAAGUGUGCGUGUGUGACCCUCAGCAGUUCAACAGACUGCACGUCUUCAGAGAAGUCUUUGAAGAUAUUUGCAAUAGUUCUUUGAUAUUUGGUGAUAUCUUGAAAGAAGUUAAGGAUGAAUAUGAACUCUACAUGGCAAUACUUCUGCGGUCCCACUCCCCAUCACAGUGUAAGACUCUGCUGGCUAAUGCCAAGGGACUGGAGAAGAGAUCAGUGAAGACUGCAGAUGUCAACCAGGCCAAGGAGGAGCUGAGGGUGAUGGUGAUGGCCACCAAAGCAGCCCUGGAGCAUAAUGACAAACUCAGAAGUGAACUAGAGAUGGAAAACACAUUGCUGCAAUCUGCUAAGGAAAAGUCAGAAUUAUCUAAGAAAGAUGUAAUGAAUGAAGAUCACCUUACUCUUAUUGAGAAGGUUGAAAAGAAGAGGUGUGAAAUACUUAAUAAAUGGGAUGAAAUUCAAGCUCUUGAAAGAGAAAUUAAAACAACUUUGAUUCAUACUGGAAUUUUGCGUAUCACUGAAAAUAGGAUUAAAAGCAUAGAGACUGAAGCUAUAAAAUUGGAAACAGCAAAUAGAAUUUUAAAGAAGAAAAUGCAUGUUAUUGAAAACCAGGUGAAGCAGACCAUGGAGAAGAAUAAUAUGAGUGAGGAAGAGCAGCAUUUUAUUGAGAGAUGCAUUUGACAUGUAACAUUGUGUAACUUGAAAGCGCACAACCUGUGGAUGAUGUACGAUCACCACCACGGCGUCAGCUAGGACUUCUAGGACACCACGUGAUUACCAUCCUUGUGUGGUGAGCACAUGUCAGACUUACUUGCAGCCACUUUCAAGUAUAUGACACGGUGUUAACGAGAGAGACAGCGAGAGAGGGAACACAAGCAGGGGGAGUGGCAGAGGGAGAAGCAGGCUUCCCACAGAGCAGGGAGCCGGAUGUGGGACUCGAUCCAGGGACUCCAGGAUCAUGACCUGAGCCGAAGGCAGUUGCUUAACCAACUGAGCCACCCAGGUGCCCUGGUGAUGGGUAUUAAAGAGGGCAUGUUCUGCAUGGAGCACUGGGUGUUAUAGGCAAAUAAUGAAUCAUGGAACACUACAUCAAAAACUAAUGAUGUAAUGUAUGGUGACUAACAUAACAUAAUAAAAAAAAGAACUCUGCCCAUUUUUUAAUUGGAUUGUUUGUAAUUUUGCUAUUGAGUUAAAUGAGUUCUUUAUGUGUUUUGGAUAUCAACCCUUACUGAUAUAUGAUUUAUGGAUAUUUUCUCUCAUUCAGUAGGUUGCCUUUCUUUGUGUUGAUGGUUUCUUUUGCUGUGCAGAAAUUUCUUAGUUUGAUGUAGUCCCACUUAUUAAUUUUUACUUUUGUGGCUUAUGCUUUUGAUGUCUUAUCCAAAAAAUCUCUGCCAAGACCAAUGUCAAGUUGCUUUUCCUGUUUUCUUCCAGUUUUAUGGUAUCAGUUCUUUAAGUCUUUAAACCAUUCUUGUGAGUUUUGUAAGAUAGGAUCCAAUCUCAUUCAUCUGCAUGUGGUUACCCAUUUUCCUGACACCAUUUAUUGAAGAGGCUAUCCUUUCUCCAUUGAGUCUUCUUGGCUGCCUUGUCAAAUAUUAGUUGACUGUGUAUGAGGGUGUUUAUUUCUGGGAUCUUGAUUCUUUCCAUUGGUCUAUGUGUCUAUUUGUCUGUUUGAUUAUAGCUUUGUAGUUGGUAAAGGAAAUUUUCAACUUUUCAUGUCUGUGGGCCCUGCUCCUGGGCUCCCAGGGAAGCUGUUCUUUAACGUUUACCAAGGUCAGAAUGACUUGGCAAAACCUCAAAGCAUGGGCUCUAUUUCUGCCCCAAGCCCACACAUUAUAGGUCUGCUUGUUAAAGAAAACAACCAAAAAGCAUUCUGAACACAAAAGAUAAGAAAAAGGAAGAAACUUCCCUGGUUUCCAUAAGAUUAAAGUCAUACAGCCCUGCAUAUACUAGAAGCUUAAGAUAAGGUCUGCCACAUUCUGAAAUGUCCUUUGUUUUGAUUUGUAACUAUUUAAUGUAAAAAAAAAAUGUAUAUAAUCCUACACCAAAUCUUCCUUUCCUGAAGCACUCUCUUCUUUGUGAAGAUUGUGUAUCCUGGGUAGCUGCCCUAACUUGGGCUUAAAUACAACAAAUAAAAAAAUAAAAGUGGGGUGGGAGAGAGUAAUGAGCUUUUAGUUGUUAAGAUUCUUACUCAUGCUUUUAAAAAUAUUUUAAUUUCUUUGCCUAUUAACAAGAUUGAGCAUCUUAAAAUAUAUCAUUAGCUCUUUCUUUUCCCCCUCUGUGUAUUUUCUGGCAUGUAGUAAAUAUUCAGUAACUAUUUUUAAUAGCUUAUUGACUAUUAAAUGGGUGUGACUAUUAUAUCACACCCAUUUGUUUUAUGGGUUUUUCAUCUUAACUCUGUGCAGUUGGUACCUUGUGUUGCAUUCGCCAAAUACAAAGCAUUGAUUUCUAUUUGGAUAAGAGCAAUUUAGACAAUUGGAUUCAAGGUUCUAAGUAAUCAUGAAUCUAUUCACCUGUCAAUAAUAUACAAGAAGUAUACUAUUAGUGCUACUUUUUUUCUUUAAUUAAAACAAGAAAGUUGAAAUUGUUUUAUUUGUAAUAAAAAAAGGUCUUAGUUUUUUUUUUCUAAGGCAUGUGCCUGCUUGAGUAGGGUUAUAAGGUAUGUAUGGUUGUGCUAGUUUUUACCAUAAUAAAUCAGUCUUUUUGUCCAGUUUAGUUGUUGAAUGCUAGUUGAGUGAAUCUUUACUUUGGGGACUGCCAAUUUGUAAAUUGUUGCUAGAUUCUGAAGGAGGAAUGAGCAACAUAAACUUGUCAUUAUUCUCAGAGCUGAUUAGACCUUUUUUUUUUAAGAUUAAUUUAUUUAUUUUAGAGAGAGAGAGCAUUUACGAGUGGGGGGAAAGGAGGAGCAGAGGGAGAGAAAGAGAAAAUCUCAAGCAGGUUCCAUGCUCAGCAUGGAACCCAAUGGGCGGCUCGAUCUCAUGACCCUGAGAUCAUGACCUGAGCUGAAAUUAAGAGUUGGAUGCUCAACUGACUGAGCCACCCAGGCGCUCCUGAUUAUACUUUCGUGAAAGCAUCUGGUGAGCCCCUUUCAAGAAAAUCAUGUUUUGUCCCCAUUUUACAGAUAAGACUACUAAGGUUCAGCCAUGGGUGGCUAAGAGCCCAGGUGUGAAAAGUGAUGCACUCUAAAGAGCACACUUAUCAUGAGUGUAUAGAAUUGUUGACUCCGUCUAUUGUACAUCUGAAACUAAGACAAUACUCUAUGUUAAGUACACUGGAAUUUAAAUUAAAAAAAAAAACUUUAAAAAAAGCAAUGCGCUAGAGGAAUCUAUGUCCUUAACCUUCUACUGGAAAUCAAACAACAGGUAUCACCAUGAAGUUCAGCACUGUGCCUUUCACAGACAAAAGAGCUUGAUGUGGGCCAGUGAUUCAAAAGGAAGACCUUCUCUCUGUCCUUAGCCAUAGAAGUCAAGAAGCCCGGAGGUAGGCAGUUCCAGAGGUGACCAGUGUCAUCAGGUAUCCAAGCUCCUUCCCCGGUUCUGCCAUCCUUGUAUUUUGACUUGAUAUUUAGAUUUGUUCUCUCAUGGUAAUUGGCCAAAGAAGAGAGGCAUUUGUGUUAUUCCUUGCUUUUAUCAGGGAGGACUUUCCCAGGAGCUGUCAUCAGACUUCCCAUCAGAUCUCAUAGAACAGAGUCAGGUAGAUGCUCAAACUCUAACUGCAAGAGAGCCUCGUGCAACCGUCAGGGUCCUUACAGGAAGGAGGCACACUCAAAUUAGGAUAAUCUCAGAACAGUUUAUUUACAGAGAACUAGUUUCUGAGGUGUGGGAGUGGGGACCCACAGAGGCUAGGGCAGUGCCCCACAGCUGGUACUUAUGGAGCGUCAGCAUACUUGGCCAAAGGGAUGAGGGGACAGAGCAGUAACUGGACCUCAAAAGGAGGGCAUCAUGUAGAAGAGACCACCUAGCAAGGAGCAGAGGCACAGCCCGACCAGGCUGAUCUCCAAGGAAAAGGGUCAGCAGAUGCUCUGGCCUCACGCUUAUGCUGGGGUCGCCAGCACGGCCCAUCCUCAGCAGACCCCAGCAGGAAGAACACAGGUAGGGCUCCUCUGCCCUUCCAGGGCAAGGCAGAGAAGGAAGGAAAGUGGAUCUGAAAGGGCCCACAGGAGGAUAUGUGGCACAACCGGGAAACUGAGAAUCUGGGAUUUCCAGGCCAGAUACGGGAGCUUGGGAGUGCCAGCAAGCAGCGGGCGCCCUGUAGGCAAGUGGUGUCCCCAGCCACCGCCUGCUCGAGCUGCUCUCCAUCUCCCUGUGAGUGUCUCCAUCUGUGAAAUGGCAAUGAUGCUAAUCCCUCCUUCAUUUAAUUAUUUGGGGAUUAAAUGGGAAAAUAAAGGUUAAACCCUUAACAUACUGCCUGGACUAGAGUAAAUAGUGUCAGCUAGUGUUAGCAUUACUUUUACUGUGUCUCCUUCCUAACCUCUUUCCCCUUCCCGUGCCCUCACCUUGGAAUCCUCAUUCCCAAGGGAUGCGCUAGCAACUGGUGCUGCGGUACUUUUCCAGGUCUGGUCCUUGACCAGCCACAUGGGCUUCACUGGGAACUUGUUGGGAAUGCACAUUCUGGGAACCACUUCCAACCUACCGAAUCCGGGGAUGGGGCCCCCUGGUGUGCGUUCAUACGCCUGAAUAAGCCCCAGUGUCCGACUCUCCCGGCGUGCUCUCCAGGCUCAGCCGGAGCUGGCUGGCGUCAGGCAGAGGUGACACGGGGGCGGGGGGGGGGGGGGGGCGCUUUGAUGUUUUGCACGUAGCUCAACUGCUGAGGCAUGUUCCCUGUGUGUGGUGAGAGGGGCGCUAGGAUGAAAUCAGACUCGGGGACACACCCCAAAAUCCUUGGGGAUCCCCAGACCUACUGGGGGAAAGGGAAUCCCCCAAAGUCCUAGAAUCCCUGGGAGAAAGUGUGAAGAGGCGGGAUGCAUGCACACGGGAGGGCAGGUCUCACGGGGAUCCCAGCACCCUCACCCGGGGCGUGGAGGCGUCCGGGAAGCGGGUGGUGCUCACAAGGUGGGAAUACCACUGGAGAACCAUGUUCCCAGUCGCCCCCGUUGCAGUGUAUUCCGUUAAGACAUCAUCUCACUUGCCCUCUGCUUGGUUUUUUGUU